rnacentral:rRNA from 1 species
CAUCGGAUGAGCAGCACUUGAUUAGUUUGUUGGUGGGGUAAUGGCCUACCAAGACUGUGAUCAAUAGCUGAUUUGAGAGGAUGAUCAGCCACAUUGGGACUGAGACACGGCCCAAACUCUACGGGAGGCAGCAGUGGGGAAUCUUGCACAAUGGAGGAAACUCUGAUGCAGCGAUGCCGCGUGAGUGAAGAAGGCCUUUGGGUUGUAAAGCUCUUUCGUCGGGGAAGAAAAUGACUGUACCCGAAUAAGAAGGUCCGGCUAACUUCGUGCCAGCAGCCGCGGUAAUACGAAGGGACCUAGCGUAGUUCGGAAUUACUGGGCUUAAAGAGUUCGUAGGUGGUUGAAAAAGUUAGUGGUGAAAUCCCAGAGCUUAACUCUGGAACUGCCAUUAAAACUUUUCAGCUAGAGUAUGAUAGAGGAAAGCAGAAUUUCUAGUGUAGAGGUGAAAUUCGUAGAUAUUAGAAAGAAUACCAAUUGCGAAGGCAGCUUUCUGGAUCAUUACUGACACUGAGGAACGAAAGCAUGGGUAGCGAAGAGGAUUAGAUACCCUCGUAGUCCAUGCCGUAAACGAUGUGUGUUAGACGUUGGAAAUUUAUUUUCAGUGUCGCAGCGAAAGCGAUAAACACACCGCCUGGGGAGUACGACCGCAAGGUUAAAACUCAAAUGAAUUGACGGGGACCCGCACAAGUAGUGGAGCAUGUGGUUUAAUUCGAAGAUACGCGCAGAACCUUACCAACACUUGACAUGUUCGUCGCGACUCUAAGAGAUUAGAGUUUUCGGUUCGGCCGGACGAAACACAGGUGCUGCAUGGCUGUCGUCAGCUCGUGUCGUGAGAUGUUGGGUUAAGUCCCGCAACGAGCGCAACCCUCACUUUUAGUUGCCAUCAUUUAGUUGGGCACUCUGAAAGAACUGCCAGUGAUAAGCUGGAGGAAGGUGGGGAUGACGUCAAGUCCU